rnacentral:rRNA from 1 species
UACGUAGGGUGCAAGCGUUAAUCGGAAUUACUGGGCGUAAAGCGUGCGCAGGCGGCUUUGCAAGACAGAUGUGAAAUCCCCGGGCUUAACCUGGGAACUGCAUUUGUGACUGCAUGGCUGGAGUGCGGCAGAGGGGGAUGGAAUUCCGCGUGUAGCAGUGAAAUGCGUAGAUAUGCGGAGGAACACCGAUGGCGAAGGCAAUCCCCUGGGCCUGCACUGACGCUCGUGCACGAAAGCGUGGGGAGCAAACAGG